rfam:Oryza sativa Japonica Group DNA, chromosome 9, cultivar: Nipponbare, complete sequence.
CUAUUAUCUUGAGUUCUCUUUAAUCAUUUCACAUGGCACUAUUUUAAGGCCUACUGUGUGAAGUGUUUGGGGGAUUCUCGGUAUCAC